rnacentral:sRNA from 1 species
UUUGCUAGGUUAGCUGCCUGAAUUUCAGGUACGGGCUGGUGAUUAUUUAAUCACCAGCCU